rnacentral:rRNA from 1 species
UACGAAGGGGGCGAGCGUUGUUCGGAUUUACUGGGCGUAAAGCGCGCGCAGGCGGCUAUCCAAGUCAGUGGUGAAAGCCCGGAGCUCAACUCCGGAACUGCCAUUGAAACUGUUUAGCUUGAGGACGAGAGAGGUGAGUGGAAUUCCCGGUGUAGAGGUGAAAUUCGUAGAUAUUGGGAAGAACACCGGUGGCGAAGGCGGCUCACUGGCUCGUAUCUGACGCUCAGGCGCGACGGCGUGGGGAUCAAACAGG